CAAUUUUGGCAAUGAAGCAAGAAAAUCUCAAAAAACAACAGCCUUUAUUGUGUUGCUAUGUUCUUGUUAUGUUUAACGUUGGUCUUCCUCUACCCUCUGUUACAGCACCCUUGGUGGAUUCCAGCCCGAGACACAGCAGUUCAGCCAUGCUGAUGCUCCUAUCAGUAGUAUUCCUGGGUUUAGCAGUGUUUCUCAUCUACAAAUUCAAGAGAAAAAUCCCCUGGAUUAACAUAUACGCAGAGGUGAACCAGGAGAAAGAGCAUGAGAUGAUCGGUUCGGUCAGCCAGAAUGACAGCACGUCUAAAUCACCCUCAGUGAGAAGGAGAUGGACGCCAGGGUUAAACGGCGAAUUGGAAAUGCCUGCGAGAGCACAAGGGAGAUUCCUAACUGUACUAGCGUGUAAAGCCGAGGAAGGAAUGCAACAAAUGUGUACAGACUUAAAGUAUUGCCAUUUUGAGGGUUUUCUCUUUUUUUAUGUAUUUUGUAAUUUCUCAAACACAAACCCAAUGUUAAUAGUUUUCUAAGGAACUCAUUUAUAUUGAUGUGCAUGGGUGUCUUGUUUGAUAGCAUCUAUGCGGCGAAUUUGAAAUCCACUCAAUGAGACAAGUUUUAAUUACAAGUAUGAGCUACUUAGGCCUACUGCUACACAAUUUGGAUUACAAAGAAACGUUUAAUUUUCAGUCCUUAAUUGCCUUAUUUCAUGGACAUUUAUCAAAGCCUUUAUUAAAACCUACGAAGAGAGGUAUGUACAUUUCUUAAAGUUUUACUUUCAUGAGGUAUAAGAGUAUUGUCUGUAUGGGCCAACAUGUCUAGGUCUCCGAUCUAACAGGGAAUAUUAUUGAAAAUGUACCAAUUUAUCUUUAGAUAUCUGUUAUCGCUCUGUAUAAACUAUAUGUAUAUUUACUUUCCACAUGCUUGUAGUAAAAGUACAAUGCUGUCACGAUCGUC